rnacentral:rRNA from 1 species
AUUGAACGCUGGCGGCGUGCCUAAUACAUGCAAGUCGAACGAAGUGGCGAACGGGUGAGUAACGCGUAAUCAACCUGCCCUUCAGAGGGGGACAACAGUUGGAAACGACUGCUAAUACCGCAUACUGAAGGAGGGGAUUGCGUCUGUUUCGCUAGUUGGAGGGGGAACGGCCCACUAAGGCGAUGAUCAGUAGCCGGUCUGGGAGGAUGAACGGCCACAUUGGGACUGAGACACGGGCCAGACUCCUACGGGAGGCAGCAGUGGGGAAUCUUCCGAAAUGGACGAAAGUCUGACGGAGCAACGCGGCGUGGGUGAUGACGGCCAUCGGGUGGUAAAGCUCUGUUAAUCGGGACGCGGUACCGGAAUAGAAAGCCACGGCUAACUACGUGCCAGCAGCCGCGGUAAUAC